AUUGAACGCUGGCGGCAUGCCUUACACAUGCAAGUCGAACGGCAGCACGGGGCAACCUGGCGGCGAGUGGCGAACGGGUGAGUAAUGCAUCGGAACGUACCUUUCAGUGGGGGAUAACGUAGCGAAAGUUACGCUAAUACCGCAUAUUCUGUGAGCAGGAAAGCAGGGGAUCGCAAGACCUUGCGCUGAUUGAGCGGCCGAUGUCAGAUUAGCUAGUUGGUGAGGUAAAGGCUCACCAAGGCGACGAUCUGUAGCGGGUCUGAGAGGAUGAUCCGCCACACUGGAACUGAGACACGGUCCGGACUCCUACGGGAGGCAGCAGUGGGGAAUCUUGGACAAUGGGGGCAACCCUGAUCCAGCCAUGCCGCGUGAGUGAAGAAGGCCUUCGGGUUGUAAAGCUCCUUCGGCCGGGAAGAAAUCGCACGGGCUAAUACCCUGUGUGGAUGACGGUACCGGAAUAAGAAGCACCGGCUAACUACGUGCCAGCAGCCGCCGCAGUAA
rnacentral:rRNA from 1 species